GACGAACGCUGGCGGUGUGCUUAACACAUGCAAGUCGAACGGCAAGGCCCUGCUUUUGUGGGGUGCUCGAGUGGCGAACGGGUGAGUAACACGUGAGUAACCUGCCCUUGACUUUGGGAUAACUUCAGGAAACUGGGGCUAAUACAGGAUAGGAGCUCCUGCUGCAUGGUGGGGGUUGGAUAGUUUCGGCGGUCGGGGAUGGAUGCGCGGCUUAUCAGCUUGUUUGUGGGGUAGUGGCAUACCAAGGCUUUGACGGGUAGCCGGCCUGGGAGGGGGACCGGCCACAUUGGGACUAAGAUACGGCCCAGACUCCUACGGGAGGCAACAGUGGGAAAUAUUGCACAAUGGGCGAAAGCCUGUGGCAGCGACGCCGCGUGCGGAAUGACGGCCUUCGGGUAGUAAACCGCUGUCGCCUAUGACGAAGCGGUAGUGACGGUAAUGGGUAAAGAAGCACCGGCUAACUACGUG
rnacentral:rRNA from 1 species